rnacentral:misc_RNA from 1 species
GAUGAGGAACGCAGCGAAAUGCGAUAAGUAAUGUGAAUUGCAGAAUUCAGUGAAUCAUCGAAUCUUUGAACGCACAUUGCGCCCGCCAGUAUUCUGGCGGGCAUGCCUGUUCGAGCGUCAUUUCAACCAUCAAGCCCCCGGCUUGUGUUGGGGACCUGCGGCUGCCGCAGGCCCUGAAAAGCAGUGGCGGGCUCGCUGUCACACCGAGCGUAGUAGCAUACAUCUCGCUCUGGGCGUGCUGCGGGUUCCGGCCGUUAAACCACCUUCAUAACCCAAGGUUGACCUCGGAUCAGGUAGGAAGACCCGCUGAACUUAAGCAUAUCAAUAAGCGGAGGA